UAGAGUUUGAUCAUGGCUCAGAUUGAACGCUGGCGGCAGGCCUAACACAUGCAAGUCGAGCGGAAACGAUGGAGCUUGCUCCAGGCGUCGAGCGGCGGACGGGUGAGUAAUGCAUAGGAAUCUGCCCGGUAGUGGGGGAUAACCUGGGGAAACCCAGGCUAAUACCGCAUACGUCCUACGGGAGAAAGCAGGGGAUCUUCGGACCUUGCGCUAUCGGAUGAGCCUAUGUCGGAUUAGCUUGUUGGUGAGGUAAAGGCUCACCAAGGCGACGAUCCGUAGCUGGUCUGAGAGGAUGAUCAGCCACAUCGGGACUGAGACACGGCCCGAACUCCUACGGGAGGCAGCAGUGGGGAAUAUUGGACAAUGGGCGAAAGCCUGAUCCAGCCAUGCCGCGUGUGUGAAGAAGGCUUUCGGGUUGUAAAGCACUUUCAGUGAGGAAGAAGGCCUUGGGGCUAAUACCCCCGAGGAAGGACAUCACUCACAGAAGAAGCACCGGGCUAACC
rnacentral:rRNA from 1 species